rnacentral:RNase_P_RNA from 1 species
GUGGAUGGAAGAUCGCCGGCGGACGAGCAGCGUCCGCGGGAGGAAAGUCCGGGCUCCACAGGACAGGGAAGUCGGUAACACCGACCCGGGGCAACCCGAGGGAAAGCGCAACAGAAAUCACACCGCCGAGGAUUCACGGCGGGGGCUCGCAAGAACCCUCGCGCGUGUGGCGGGCGCAGGUCGCCCGCCCGGUAAGGUUGAAAUCGUGGGGUAAGAGCCCACGCGCGACAGCCGGGCGACCGGCGGCGAGGCAAGCCCUUCCCGGAGCAAGCUUGAAUAGGGGCACUUUUGAGGACGGUCCGUCCGAUCGCGAGGUCUCACGGCUUCGCACAGUGCCCGGGUGAGAGCGCUCGAGCAGCGUGGCAACGCGUUGCCUAGAUGAAUGAUCUUCGCCGGCACCGGGGCAACCCGGAGUCGGAACAGGACCCGGCUUACAGUCCACGCUA